ACCUUACCCCUCAAAUGAAUAAUGGACCGCUCCAUAAAACAGAAAACAACAACAACAAAAGUUAAACUAAGUGUUGUACUUCACAUUCGACGGUCAGGCAGCAGUGAGAUAGUCGGAUAAACAGAUUCCCUGGUGAAACGACCUGUUUAGAAUCAAGCCAGCCACUCUUGAGGGAUGGAGAACACGACCACCCCGUUGUCUAACGACACAGACGUGGAGGUCCUUCCCCAGUAUGUCGGCUUCAUCUGCUGCGGGUUAGCCUCCAUCUUGUUUGCCACCAACUAUGUACCAGUCAAGAAGUUCGAAACGGGUGAUGGAAUGUUUUUCCAGUGGGUGUUGACUAAUGGUAUCCUCAUCACCGGUUUUGUGAUCCAGGCAAUCCGGCUGUCACGUUUUUACCCAAUCGUCAUGGUCGGGGGCUCAUUGUGGGCCACAGGAAACGUUGUUGUGGUCCCAAUCGUGAAGACCAUCGGACUUGGACUUGGCAUCUGUGUCUGGGGCUCCGUGCAGUUGCUCGUCGGUUGGGGCAACGGCAGGUUCGGGCUGGUGGGCAUCGACGCCGAGAUCCCCAACAACAUCACCUUGAACUACGUCGGUGUGUCCCUCUCUCUCGUCAGUACAGUGAUCUAUGCGUUUGUCAAGCCAGAUAUUCAACCUAUCACCAUGGAGUUGACAAUACCAGGACCUGACGAAGAGGCGGCCGACAGUAAGGAGAUCCGCAUGUCUGAGCCAAAAGACGGUGACAUGGAAGGAAAUGCCCCUAUAAAACCGUCCCCCGGACAAAUGUCUAUAGAAAGAUGGUCGCCUGUUAAGAAGAAGAUAACUGGGAUCGUUCUAUCUGCAAUCUCCGGUGUGCUCUACGCCUUCCAGUUCAUCCCGGCCAGAUACAUGCAGGAACAUGAGAAAGACAACGGUGCCAGUCAGAACUUACUCGACUACGUGUUCGCUCACUAUUGCGGUAUCUACCUCGCCUCAACCGUCUACUUCGUCAUCUACGCUCUCUUCCGGCGCAACCGACCCACGGUGUACUCCCAGGUGGUCGUCCCGGGGCUAGUGUCGGGCUUGAUGUGGGGGGUAGGGGGUGUCGGGUGGUUCAUCUCCAACAUGGCUCUCUCAGACCCUGUCUCCUUCCCAAUCAUCUCUACCGUCCCUAUGGGAAUCUCGCUUCUGAUUGGAGUGUUGGCCUUCAAGGAAAUCAAGGGACGUCGCAAUAUCAUCAUCGUUCUCGUCGCCAUGACGUUCACCAUAGCUGGGGCGGUAUUGGCCGGCGUCUCAAAGACGUGAUGCCAUGACUGUUGGGAGGCAUGAAUACUCGGACUACAACAUGACAUGACGCCGUCUGUCGGGACUGCACGCUCUUCACCAUUACAACAUCCGGAAUUUACUACUAUUGUUAACAUAAUCUCAUCAAAAUUAGAUAGUUGUGGUCGAUACCGACAAACUGAGGAUUUCACAUUUCAGACCACAUCAGGGCGUCCUUUCGCGAACUUUGAUCGGUAAAUGAUCAACCGUAAAAUCGAUAUCAGCCAAUCACGGUCCACUUGCACGGAGCAAUCUUUGCGCUAUGUACAACCAUCUUAAGUUGUGUUAAAGUAUCGGAAUUACGAUCAUCGUAGAGCUAAAAUCGCUUUGUGCAAUUGACUCCUGAAUCUCUCGAUUUUUUCGGCACUAGUUUAAGAAUGGUGAAUCUUCUUUCUGGACAGUACGUAUUAUACACUUCUACACUUGUUAACAAAGAUCUCUAUUCUGUUAAUCUGAAAACUGAUCAAAACAAAGUGUCUAACAGACGAUAUAUAUUGUAUGGUGGAAUUCACCACGUUCGCUGGAAAAUGUUUCAGUGGGUAUGUCCCCUUACAGUCCAUGACUGUCGUUAGGAAUGCCUGCUGGUAACCUUUUUUAGAUUAAUGAUUACACUUAAACACAUUUGGACAUUCCCUGACCCUCAUAAGCGACGUUUUGACCGGUCAAGAUGAAAGGCCGUUCAUAAUAGAAUUAAGAUCUUUGUGUAGCCGUUUGAAGACCUGUGUUCAAAGAGCUUACUAAGAUAAAACAAGACAAGACAGUGUUAUCAGAUCGUGAGAGAUUUCUAUUUAACUUAAAAACAAAAACUUGUUUAAUUUGAGGGUACAUCACCAACAGACUGUUGUUACAUCACGAACAGGUUGUUGUUACAUAUCGAGCA
rnacentral:misc_RNA from 1 species